rnacentral:rRNA from 1 species
CAGUCGCCACGGUAAUACAGAGGGUGCAAGCGUUAAUCGGAAUUACUGGGCGUAAAGCGCGCGUAGGUGGUUUGUUAAGUUGGAUGUGAAAUCCCCGGGCUCAACCUGGGAACUGCAUACAAAACUGGCAAGCUAGAGUAUGGUAGAGGGUGGUGGAAUUUCCUGUGUAGCGGUGAAAUGCGUAGAUAUAGGAAGGAACACCAGUGGCGAAGGCGACCACCUGGACUGAUACUGACACUGAGGUGCGAAAGCGUGGGGAGCAAACAGGAUUAGAGACCCCAGUAGUCCCUGUCUCUUAUAC